CACGUAGGGUGCAAGCGUUGUCCGGAAUCAUUGGGCGUAAAGAGCUCGUAGGCGGCUUAGUAAGUCGGGUGUGAAAACCCCAGGCUCAACCUGGGGACGCCACCCGAUACUGCUAUAGCUAGAGUCCAGUAGGGGAGUGUGGAAUUCCCAGUGUAGCGGUGAAAUGCGCAGAUAUCAGGAGGAACACCGGUGGCGAAGGCGGGUCUCUGGGCCGAUACUGACGCUGAGGAGCGAAAGCGUGGGGAGCGAACAGG
rnacentral:rRNA from 1 species